UACGGAGGGGGCAAGCGUUGUUCGGAAUUACUGGGCGUAAAGGGCGCGUAGGCGGCCUUCUAAGUCGAACGUGAAAUCCCCGGGCUCAACCCGGGAACUGCGUCCGAUACUGGAAGGCUUGAAUCCGGGAGAGGGAUGCGGAAUUCCAGGUGUAGCGGUGAAAUGCGUAGAUAUCUGGAGGAACACCGGUGGCGAAGGCGGCCUUCUGGACGAGUGACUGACGCUGAGACGCGAAAGCGUGGGGGAGCAAACAGG
rnacentral:rRNA from 1 species